rnacentral:lncRNA from 1 species
UUUGGAGAUGAGAGUGGUCGAGGUAUUUACCUCGGGCCAUGCUUGAAAGUUCGGGGUCGGGCUAUAAUUUUCGUACACAUCAUAGGCCCCCGUGCAUCCAUGUCAGGAGCUCGUGUGCAAUAUGGGAGUUUCUGGCAUGAGAUGCAUAAGUAUAUUAAGUUCAAGAAUAGGCAUGCUCAUGUCAAGUCGAUAGGCCCCCGAGCACACGGAUCUUGUUGAAAUUUUUGAGAGAACUGAGCUCGACUUCGACCUUGUAAAAGAAUUUGGCAUGACCGAGCUCAACCUCAAGCUUUAUCAGUACUUGAUGUGAAAGAGCUUGACUCUACCUUGUUUAGAAGUUGAAAAGAACGAGCUCAACCUCGAGCUUUGUUAAAAGUUUUGGAAGUAAUGGGUUUGACGAAUGGACAAAGAUUCAUAUAGGAGAUAUAGCCCGAACUCAAUGUGCAAUAAUUAUAUCGAGCCCUUGCAUCUAGGAUUAGAUUGUAUUGAGCUCGAGGAUAGUCUCAAGCUAAUGUGAGAGACUUAUCCCGAGCUCUUGUGUUUAGGAUUUGACAAUGGAUUGAACUCGAGGAUAGGCCCCCGAGCUCAACGUGAUACAACCAUCCCGAGCUCUUGUGGCUGGGAUUUGAAAAAAAGAAUUGAGCUCGAAGAUAGGCAUGAGCCCAAUGUGAAGCAAUUAUCCCGAGCCCUUCUGACUGGGCGUAGACAAUGUGUUGAGCUCGAGGACAGGCCCCCGAGCCC